UACGUAGGGUGCGAGCGUUAAUCGGAAUUACUGGGCGUAAAGCGUGCGCAGGCGGCUUGCUAAGACAGGUGUGAAAGCCCCGAGCUUAACUUGGGAAUGGCGCUUGUGACUGGCAGGCUGGAGUGUGGCAGAGGGAGGUGGAAUUCCACGUGUAGCAGUGAAAUGCGUAGAGAUGUGGAGGAACACCGAUGGCGAAGGCAGCCUCCUGGGCCAACACUGACGCUCAUGCACGAAAGCGUGGGGAGCGAACAGG
rnacentral:rRNA from 1 species